rnacentral:rRNA from 1 species
UACGUAGGGGGCUAGCGUUGUCCGGAAUCAUUGGGCGUAAAGCGCGUGUAGGCGGUCCGGUAAGUCCGGUGUGAAAGUCAAAGGCUCAACCUUUGAAUGCCGCUGGAUACUGCCUGACUUGAGUCCGGAAGGGGCGAGUGGAAUUCCUGGUGUAGCAGUGAAAUGCGUAGAUAUCAGGAGGAAUACCGAUGGCGAAGGCAGGUCUCUGGGCUGACACUGACGCUCAUGCACGAAAGCGUGGGGAGCAAACAGG